rnacentral:rRNA from 1 species
UACGAAGGGGGCUAGCGUUGCUCGGAAUCACUGGGCGUAAAGGGUGCGUAGGCGGGUCUUUAAGUCAGGGGUGAAAUCCUGGAGCUCAACUCCAGAACUGCCUUUGAUACUGAAGAUCUUGAGUUCGGGAGAGGUGAGUGGAACUGCGAGUGUAGAGGUGAAAUUCGUAGAUAUUCGGAAGAACACCAGUGGCGAAGGCGACUUACUGGACAGAUAUUGACGCUGAGGUGCGAAAGCGUGGGGAGCAAACAGG